rnacentral:lncRNA from 1 species
UGGCUUAAAGUGUAUCUGAAGGUGGGAGGAUGGAAGGAGGUCACGGGGCUGGCGCUGGUACUGGAGGUGACAUACCACCAGCCCCUGCAGCAUUUCUUCAGCUCGGGCUGGCUGAAAGGGACAGAAGAGAAAACUGAGGGGAGGGGGACUCAAAGGACACCCUUCAGUUUGGCAUCCUUCAGGCUGGGAAUGAGGACAGAGAAGGGGAAGAGCUGGGAGGUGGCAAGCGAUGGCUGGGGAUGGUAGAAAAUGGCAAGACAAACCUAUGGCAGGAAGGUGGCAUGCAGUCCAUUAUCAGAGAGUCAAAUAAGGCCAGAUACCCUCCGUCUGCGUCUCCCCACCCCCGCCCAGUGCUGUGCAGGGGCCGGAGCUCACAGGACAGCUCCUGUAGCUAGCUGGUGGCAGUGGUUCUCCUAGACAUUACCUAGCAACUGCUCAGAACAAAGAUGCAGAAGAGAACUGAUUGUUUCUCCCUUCCUUUCUCCUCCAGUUUGUUCCAUCAGCUGUGUUAGACAGGAUGGUGGCCGAUCCUUGCCGUCACGGAGUUACCUUCAUAGCCUGAUGAUGGGCCCCAAACAAGUGGAUUGAAAGAACAAGCUCCUGCCCACCUGCCCUGCCAAUGCUGUCUCCCCAACCCCCAGCCAAGCUCGUGUGGCUUCCAGGUGUCUAGAGACCUGACGCCCACUGCAGUGGCUGAUUCCAGAAAGGCCACGGCUGUGCAACAGGAAUACCGUGCUACAACUGCCUCCCCGCCGCCUCCUUCUCCUCCUUCUGAGAACGUGUGUGUGUGUGGGCGCCGCAUCCGACACAGAGAGGUGGGUGAGACAGGAUCCUUGCUUUCAUCAGGCAGGCGUGACUCAGUCUUAGCCUCUAGCUCUACACACGCUCACCGUCUGCACUCCCUCUGCCCCCGUUCUCUCUGGAACAGCUCACAUGCUUCACUACCAUCCUUGCACUGACACAACCUGUAGUGAGUGGGUUGAAUGGUGCCCUGCAAAAGAUGCCUCCACAUCCCAACCCCAGAAACCUAUGAAUGUUAACUAAUCUGGGGGUAAAAAGGUGUUUGCAGAUAUAAUUAAGAAUCUUGAGAUUGUCCUGGAUUAUUGGGUGAUCUCUGAAUCCAAUGGUGAGUGUCCCGAGAGACACAAGCAGAAGAAAGGGCCUUGUUGGGACUUCCCUGGGGGUCCAGUGGCUACGAAUCCCCCUGCCAACGCAGGGGACACAGGUUCCAUCCCUGGUCUGGGAGGAUCUCACGUGCCUCAGGGCAACUAAGCCUGCACACCACAACUACUGAGCCUGAGUACCCUAGAGCCCGCGUUCUGUAACUAAAGAGGAGCCCCUGCUCACCCCAACUAGAGAAAGCUGGUGCACAGAAACGAAGGCCCAGCGCAGCCAAAAAUAAAUUUUAAAAAAAAGAAAGAAAGAAUAGACAGCCUUGUGAAGGAGGAGGAGAAUGGAGCUCUACAGCCACAAACCAAGUGACAUCUGGAGCCUCCAGGUGCUGAAGGAGGCAGAAUGAGACCCCCUAGAGCCUCGGCAGGAGCCUGGCCCUGCUGGCACCUUGGUCUUGGACAUCUGGCCUCCAGAAUGGUGAAGAUAAAUUCCCGUUGUUUUAAGACACCAGCUGGUAGAGAUCUGUCACGGUGGCCCCAGGGAGCUAAUAUGCUACCCUUCGACAAACCCUGUGUCCCAAUCCACGCCCUGCCCUGAGCCACUCGAUGGCAGCACAUGGGGGUGAGUGCCCCACCCUUCAGACACUCCUUUCACUCUGCUUCCCGACUCCACAGAACACUUUCACAAUCUUUCACGCUGGAUCCCUCAUUUCCUCAUCCUGACUUCUAAAUGUUGGAGGCCCCCAGCUCAGCUUUCAUGCAUCCCCUCGGUGAGAGACUUCCCUGGUGUUGCAGUAGCUAAGACUCUACUCCCAAUGCAGGAGGCCAGGGCUUGAUGCUUGGUUGUGGAAUUAGGUCCCACAUGCCGCAACAAAGAUCCAGUACAGCCAAAUAAAUAGUGUAAAUAAUUUUUUUUAAAUGCCCUUGGUAAAAGCACCCAGUUCCUGACUCUAAACCAUCUGCGUGAUGACUCUUCCAAACUUACCUCGGCAGGAGCUUGGCACACAGUAGGGGCUCAAAAACUACUUGGAGGGGUUCCCUGGUGGCUUAGUGGUUAGGGUUCUGGGCUUUCACUACCAUUGCUCAGGUUCAGUCCCUGCCCAGGGAACUAAGACUGCAAGACUGUAUACAUUGCAGCCAAAUAAAGAAAAUCCAAAAAAUAAAGCUGAAAAAAAAGAAAAAUCCUUGAAGAGUGGGUCUUUUCACAUAAAUCGCCAUUUUUAUGUGUUUACCACAUUCACUUUGAAAGCACUUUUAGAUAUCCUGUCUUGCUCUUCUCUGACAAGCCCUUGGGCACCAGCCCUUCAGCGAUUUUGUGGUAGAACCCAGGUGGUGGGAUCGUCCACAUGUGGCCUGCUGACCCGGACCCCCUCUGGGAAGGUUCUGCUCCGCUGAUCAGGCUCUUCUAGGAUUUCUCUGCAGAAGGAACCAGUCAAGCAUGACUCCACCUUUGGAUCAUUAAGGCUUCUAAGAGGCUUUCUCUACAACACGGGUUGGCAAAGUAUGACCUGUGGGCCAUCUGGCUGGCUGCCUGUUUCUGUAGUUUUCCUGGAACGCAGCCACACUCAUCCGUGUACCGACCGUCUGGCGGCUUCCACGCUCCAACGGCAGAGCCCACAGGUCUAGCAUGCUCGCUUGCUGGCCCUUUACUGAGCUCACUGGCCUGCUCUGGGACAGGUGAGCCACAGUGGAGGCUUUCCACUCCUUGUUCUGUCUGUCCUUCCAUCUCCGACAUCAUUUCUUGGCUAGAGGAAGGUUCAACGUUCUUCCCCUUCCCUGCUCAUCACCCUUGUGGGAUUUGAACUCAUG